CCAAAUGAUGCUGAAUGCCUCUCUUCCUGGGAUGGGCUUUAAUUACCACUGAAUAUGCUUUAAUUGCCACUGUGUCAGAGCAAAGAUUCAUUCAUUCUGGCCCGGUGAACUCAUGUCGAGAUGGGUCAAAUACUACCUCCUCCAUGAAGCCUUCCAGCUUCCUUCCUUGGUCAGCUGUUGUCUUUAUAGACCCAACCAUUUGGGAUGGCUCCCUUUCAAUUUCCUCUUAGGACAUAAAAACCUGGAACCCUUCUGGAUCUGGAGGCGCCCACAGGACCUCCCACAAACUUGUCAGUGCCUUGAAUUUCUUCGUCCAGUUUCACCUCCCUUGCCAUUGAGUGUGCUGUGCUGGAAUAACGCCCUCACCUUCCACUUGAGACCAUUCUGUACAUUUGGGUCUCCACCAUUCCAAAGAGCCAAGGGUCAUCCUGGUUCCUAAGAGCUGACUGUUUAAUUUUCACAGAUUUUUCAAGCUGACAACUGGAAAUUGGCCAUGGUGAGAGAAUAUUACUAUUACAAAAGAGGCUCUGGUGUUUCAGACUGGUUUGCUGAACAUUUUCCAUCACACUGUGGCUUUGCCCCUUAACCUUUUGCAGUUCCCCCAUGCCCUUCUGUGCUGCCUCUUACCUCAGAACUCCAUUUCUGAAGAGCAGACAGUAUAAAUCUACCCUCUCUACCCUGUGCACUUCUCACCCCACUCCAGUCCAGGCUCUGUCCUCAGACUCCCUAAGCUGCUCUUAUCUUGACACCUCCUGAUGGCACAUUGGAAUAACAUUUUUUCUUUUUUCUUUUUUGGUCUUAUUGAGACAGGGUCUCCCUGUAGCCCCAGAAUAUAUAUGUAAACACACACACACACACACACACACACA